rnacentral:rRNA from 1 species
AAAAAAAUAAAUAAGUGUAUAUGGUGAAUGCCUUGGUACAAGAAGCCGAAGAAGGACGUGCAAAACUGCGAUAAGUGUAGGUAAGCUGUUAAGAAGCGUUAUAACCUGCAAUUUCCGAAUGGGGAAACCCGGUCACUUUAAGUGAUCACUUUAUAGUGAAUACAUAACUAUAAUUGAGGUAAGCUAGCGAAUUGAAACAUCUUAGUAGCUAGAAGAAAAGAGACAGAGUAUGUGAUUCCCUUAGUAGCGGCGAGCGAAGAGGGAGUAGCCCAAACUCCGUAGAUAGGAAUGGCAUUCAAAUCGGGCUUCGGUCUAGAGGAGAGUGUUUUUCACUGUUUUGGCAGCGGUUAUCCGCGGAGAGUUGUAGGACUUAAACUUACUGGCACCAAAAAGCCGGUAGACGAGUUAAAAACCACGUUUAUACUAGAACCUAGUUGGAAAGCUAGACCAUAGUGCGUAAUAGUCGCGUAUAGAAAAUUUUCGUGGCUCGUUUGUUUUUGUUUCCUGAGUACCACCAACUAAGUGGAAUUUGGUGGGAAUCAUCCUAAACCACUAGGAAAGGCUAAAUACUUCUUGUAACCGAUAGUGAACAAGUACCGUGAGGGAAAGGUGAAAAGUACCCCUGCUAGGGGAAUGAAAUAGUUUCUGAAACCAUAUACAUACAAGCAGUUGGAGCAUUGAACUUGUUUCAGUGUGACAGCGUGCCUAUUGAAGAAUGAGUCUGCGAGUUAUUCUGACUGGCUUGGCUAAACUCGUCUCGAGUGUAACCAAAGCGAAAGCAAGUCUUAACGGGCGUUUUGUCUGUCAGAAUAGACCCGAAGCCGUGUGAUCUAACCAUGGGCAGGUUGAAGUCUUGAGAAAUCAAGAUGGAGGACCGAACCGGUACUCGGCGAAAGGAGUUCGGAUGACCUGUGGUUAGCGGUAACACGCCAAUCGAACACGGCAAUAUCUGGCUCUCCCCGAAACAGCUAUAGGGCUGGCCUUCGGUUAGAAGUCUAUGGAGGUAGAGCACUGAUUAAGUAGAGGGCGGGCUUACCUGUACCUCACUUUGUCAAACUCCGAAUGCCAUAGAUGAAUCCCGAAGAGUUAGGCCAUGGGAGAUAAGUUCCAUCGGUCGAAAGGGAAACAACCCAGAAUAACGGAUAAGGUCCCUAAAUUUAUACUAAGUGGUAAAGGAGGUAAGAUUUCUUAAACAGCCAGGAGGUUCGCUUGGAGGCAGCUAUCCUUUAAAGAGUGCGUAACAGCUCACUGGUCGAGAGAUCUUGCGCCUAAGAUGAUCGGGGCUCAAGUAUAAUACCGAAGCCGUAUCUUGUACACAUUUAUGUGUACAGGGGUAGGGGAGUGUUGUAUACUGCGUUGAAGCUGUACUGUGAGGUAUGGUGGAGUGUAUACAAGUAAGAAUGCAGACAUGAGUAGCGCGAUCUUGGUGAAAAACCGGGACGCCGAAUGCUCAAGGUUUCCACAGCAAUGCUAGUCAACUGUGGGUUAGUCGGUCCUAAGUCGAGGUCGAAAGGCGUAGACGAUGGAUAACAGGUUAAUAUUCCUGUACUAUUUUAUAUUCGUUAUUAGCUAUGGAUUUCCGCUUUGGAAAUAAUUUGGAGUGCCGAUAGGUCGGCAUGCAAGUAGUAAAGUAGAGAGAUUUGGUAAAUCCGGUCUCUUGUUUUCCCUUACGGGGGAAUGAACCUGAGCUAUGAUGCAGAGUUUAGCUCUACGGAGCUAGGUGAUUCCAAUGAUUCAGGGUGCUGGAAAAUGUUCUAUGCGAGAAUACAUAAUAACCGUACCGUAAACCGACACAGGUGAGCGGGUAGAGUAUACCUAGGUGGACGGGUGAUUCCUUGUUAAGGAACUCGGCAAAUUUGCCCCGUAACUUCGGGAGAAGGGGUCCCUACUGCUUUAUGCAGAGGGCGCAGUGAAAAGACUUAAUCGACUGUUUAACAAAAACACAGGUGCAUGCUAACACGUAAGUGGACGUAUAUGUACUGACGUCUGCCCAAUGCCAGAAUAUUACGGAAGGGGGUGAUCAUCUUUAAGAUGUUAGCUUCUGACUUAAGUACUGGUCAAUGGCGGCUGUAACCCUGACGGUCCUAAGGUAGCGAAGUUCCUCGGCGCUUAAUAGGCGUCCUGCACGAAAGACGUAACGAGUUAGGUACUGUCUUGACAAGGAGCCCGGCGAAAAUGAAAUGGCUGUGAAGAUGCGGCCUACCCACAUCAGGACAAAAAGACCCCGGCAGCUUUACUGUAGCUAAGCAUUGUUGUAAAGAUUCUAUUGCAGAGUGUAGGAAGGAGACUUUGAAGUCAAGGCUUUGGCCUUGGUGGAGUCGUCAAUGGAACACUUCCCUUUAGAUUCUUUGCAUCUGAUUGGAGCCGUUAUCCGGCAACCAAGACAUUGCUUGGUGGGCAGUUUGACUGGGGCGGUCUCUUACAAAAGAGUAACGUAAGAUUCCAAAGGUCACCUCAGGUUGUAUGGAAAUCAACCGAAGAGUAUAAAGGCAUAAGGUGGCUUUACUGUAAGACUUACAAGUCAAGCAGUUACGAAAGUAGGGCUUAGUGACCUUCUCGUGGCGAGUGGAAGCGCGAUUGGUCAUAGGACAAAAGUUACGCCGGGGAUAACAGGCUAGUUCCGCCCAAGCGUUCAUAGCGACGGCGGAGUUCGGCACCUCGAUGUCGGCUCGUCUCAUCCUGGGGGUGUAUAAGCUCCCAAGGGUUGGGCUGUUCGCCCAUUAAAGAGGCACGCGAGCUGGGUUCAGACCGAUGUAAGUCAGGUCGGCCUCUAUCCGAUGUGGGCGCUCGAAUUUUGAAGAGAUUGACUCUUAGUACGCGAGGACCAGAGUCAGGUAACCUCUAGUGUAUCAGUUGUUCCACCAGGAGCAUUGCUGAGUAGCUACGUUGCUAUUUGGAUAACCACUGAAGGCAUCUAAGUGGGAAGCCAGCUUUAAGAUUAAAAUUCGUUAUAGGUUCCCAGUAGACCACUGGGUUGAUAGGUACUAGGUGUAAGUGCAGUAAUGUAUUUAGCCGAGGUAUACUAAUAAACCGAACAUUUUUUUAC